rnacentral:lncRNA from 1 species
CCUUUGUUUCGUAGCGUUAUGCGUUAGUUUAUGUAGUCGAGUAUUGUUGUUUUUCUGGUUUUAUGAAAAGUUGUUAUCUUAUAGUUCGUUUCUCUGUGUGGUGCAUUGUCGUUUUGGCUUUUUGUUGCACUUCAGUGCUUCUGCUGUUUCGUUGUUUUCCUCUUUAAGUUGAUGUGUUUACCUCAGUUUUAGUUUGUAACCCGGAUUUUGUUUUCUCUCCAUCGAUUUAUGACUCUCAACAGUGGUAUACUACUGUUGCCUUUAUUUAUGGACUUUUCCUUCUGAAUUUCACUUGGUUUUGUUUUGUUUAUGCCUCUUUUCCUUAUAUUGUGAAAUGCU